rnacentral:rRNA from 1 species
GGAUUAGAUACCCUGGUAGUCCACGCCGUAAACGAUGUCUACUAGCCGUUGGGGUCCUUGAGACUUUAGUGGCGCAGCUAACGCAAUAAGUAGACCGCCUGGGGAGUACGGUCGCAAGAUUAAAACUCAAAUGAAUUGACGGGGGCCCGCACAAGCGGUGGAGCAUGUGGUUUAAUUCGAAGCAACGCGAAGAACCUUACCAGGUCUUGACAUCCAGAGAAUCUUUCAGAGAUGAGAGAGUGCCUUCGGGAAUUCUGAGACAGGUGCUGCAUGGCUGUCGUCAGCUCAUGCCG